UCCGUAGGUGGUAUAUUAAGUCAGAGGUGAAAUCCCACAGCUCAACUGUGGAACUGCCUUUGAUACUGGUUGUCUUGAGUUACAGUGAAGUAGAUAGAAUAUGUAGUGUAGCGGUGAAAUGCAUAGAUAUUACAUAGAAUACCGAUUGCGAAGGCAGUCUACUAACUGUAUACUGACGCUAAUGGACGAAAGCGUGGGGAGCGAACAGGAUUAGAUACCCUGGUAGUCC
rnacentral:rRNA from 1 species